rnacentral:rRNA from 1 species
UACGUAGGGGGCAAGCGUUAUCCGGAUUUACUGGGUGUAAAGGGAGCGUAGGUGGUUCGGCAAGUCAGAUGUGAAAGCCCGGGGCUCAACCCCGGGACUGCAUUUGAAACUGCCGGGCUAGAGUGCAGGAGAGGUAAGUGGAAUUCCUAGUGUAGCGGUGAAAUGCGUAGAUAUUAGGAGGAACACCAGUGGCGAAGGCGGCUUACUGGACUGUAACUGACACUGAGGCUCGAAAGCGUGGGGAGCAAACAGG